rnacentral:lncRNA from 1 species
GUUCGUUGGUGUCGCUCGACACCGCUGAUGGUGUCGCUCGACACUCUUGUUCAUUAGUGUCGUUCGACACUGCUGUUGGUGUCGCUUGACGCUCUUCAAUUCCUUCACCUUCAGCAUCAUAACCGAUUACUGCAGGUCCUUCUCCUGCAUCAAUAACUUCACCCCAUCUCAUCUGAAACAUCCCUGGAUCCCUUCCUGAUCCAUCUCUUGGCUUGUUCCAGUUCCAGCCUGCCUUUUCAUCGAAAACCACAUCUCGGCUCACUACAAUUCUCCUUGUCUCUGGAUUAUAGAGUCUGUACGCCUUGGAUCCUGGCUCAAUCCCAAGGUGUACGAGCAUCUGUGAUCUAUCAUCCAACUUCUUAAGAUUUGCAGCUUCCACCUUUGAGUAUGCAAGACACCCAAAUACUCAUAGAUGCCCUAAACUUGGUUUCUUCUCUCACAAGAAUUCAUAAGGAGUCAUGUUCUUAAGAGCUCUUGUAGGUACUCUGUUGAUUACAUAUGUGGCGUGUCGAACUGCUUCUCCCCACAAGUAGUUAGGUACCUUCAUAGCCUUAAGACUGCUUCUAGUCAUCUCCAUUAGAGUUCGGUUUCUCCUCUCUACAACACCGUUUUGUUGUGGUGUGUAAGGAGCUGUGAGAUGCCUCUUGAUCCCCUUUGAUUCGCAGAACUCAUAGAACUCCCUUGAGGUAAACUCUCCUCCUCUGUCUGUUCUAAGAGUCAAUACUGCUCUUCCAAGCUCCUUUUCAACUAGCUCUUUGAACACCUUGAACCUCCCAAACGCCUCACUCUUCUCCUUUAACAAGAUCGACCACAUGUAUCUUGUAAAGUCAUCUAUGAUAACAAAUAUGUAUUUGUUACCUGUGAUGGUUGGUGGCGAAAUCGGACCACACAGAUCUGCGUGUAGAAGUUCCAAUGAUCUUGAAGCUCUGAACAUUGUUGUCUUAGGGAAACCUUGUCGAGUAUGUUUUCCGACUAAACAUGACUCACACAAUCCCUUUUCAUCUCGAAUCUGUGGUAGAUCAUAGGCCAUCUCCUGUUGUGACAUAGCUUUCAUGGUCUUAAAGCUUAUAUGUCCCAACCUUGCAUGCCAUCUCCAAGUCUCAUCCUCUAUCCUUGUGUUUAGACAUAUCGGCUUUCCAAUCUUCAGGUUGACUUUGUAAAGUCUGUUGGGCGACCGUAUGACCUUCACCAAGAGUCUUCCACUUGGAUCAUGGAGAGUCAAGUAAUCCUGCCUCAUUCUGACAUCACAUCCGGCUUCAAUAGCUUGCCCCAGACUCAGAAUGUUGCUAUUCAGUUCGGGUAUAUAGUAGAUAUCUGAUACGAGAUCUGCUCAUCCGUUUUGCUUUGAAACAGAGUCGAUCCUUUUCCAGUAUUCCCACGCACAAGCCUUCUCCAAACUUCACUUUGCCCCUUAUGUUUUCGUUGAGCUCAGAGAAGAAUGCCUUGUUGCCCGUCAUGUGAUUACUUGCUCCAUUAUCUAGAUACCAAAGUCCUUCUUCACCUCCUUUGUUUUCAUAGUUCUUUGGUAUUAGAUUCUCCUCAUUCAAAAACACCAGCUCAUGCAUAUAAAGUGCUUCAUCAGCUUCUUCUGUCUCCACUUUAUUUGCCUCCUGUGUCUUUUGUGGUCGUUCAGGACAGGAAGAUGCAAAGUGUCCAGCUUUAUCACAUCGAUAACAAAUCACCUUGGACCGAUCCUUCUUGUCAUUUGGUUGGUUCUGAUUUGUUGAUCGAUCUUGUGAGCUAGACCCUCCUCUGCCUCGUCCUCUGUUUCCUCUGCCUCCUCUGCCAUGUCCUCUCCCUCUCGAACUGGAACUACUUUGCUCCGAGUUUGCGUAUAGCAGCUUCCCUUGCGUAUCUCCUUGAUUAUCCUCAUCGCGAAUCUUUUCCUCAUACGCCUUAAGCCUUCCUACUAUAUCUUCGUAACUCGUCGUCUUUAGAUCCAACACCUGCUCGAGAGAGGCGAUGAUGUGAAUGAACUUGCUCCUUGGCAAACUGUUGAGAAACUUCGUCACAAGCUUUGAUUCAUCGAUGGUUUACCCUAGAGAAGCCGAUUUUGAGGCUAGCUCAGAUAACUUCCCUGCGAAGUCAUCUAUCUUGUCCGUCUCGUUCAUCUUGAUUCUCUCGAAAUCGGACAUUAGGGUUUGAAGCCUUGCUUCCUUGACACGAUCAGCUCCUAGGUUGCGUGAUUUGAUCGCAUCCCAUAUCCCUUUAGGAGAUCCUUGUUCGCCGACUUGCAAAAUAAGAACUUUCGGGAUAGAUUGAAAGAGAAGCCCUGUUGUGAUAUCAUUCUUGUUGGAAUCGGUUGAACCAGGUUCGAUCGUCUCCCACACCUUAUGGAUGUGCAGUAGAACUCUCAUCCUCAUAGCCCACACCGUGUAAUUCGUCGCGUUUAGCAUAUGGCACUGGAUCGCAGAAGGAACGCUCUCCUUCGCGUUAGGGUUAGGGUUUGCAAUGAUAUCUCCCAUGCUUGGAUAUAUCGCAGGUCUCAAGCUUCGCCUUAAGCUCUGAUACCAAUUCAAGUGAUUAAGUCAAGAACAAACUCUGUUUAUAAUUAAAGAAUAACUCUCUUUAUUAUGUUUAGAAAAUCUCUCAAAACUAAACACCAAGUAUGUAUCUCUCAUUGAUGCAACUUCAUCAAUGACUUACAUAUAUAUAGUGUUAGGAUAAUUUUCCUAAAUACUUUUUCUUUUUUCUAUUAGAACUAGAUAACUCCUAAUCUAAUAAGGAAAUAUUCCAAAAUCCUAUCUAAUUAACUUAACCGACUUGUUAAGCAAUAUGGGCUUUGGCCUUGAUGUCGAUGCUUACUCAACAUUGAUAAGGCGGCGGCGUCCAUGAAGGCGGAAGAGAAUCAACGUCAACCUCGGGCUCAUCAAAUCUGCUAAACAAGAUAUCGAGACGUGCCCUAUCAGCUUUCUCAACCUCAUCAAAAGUCAAACGAUGGUGUUGUUGCUUCUCCACGUUCUCCUGAACACGGUCAAGACGGAUUCGUGCAGAAGAAGAAAGAGCGGAGUGAUUGGUGAAGAGCAAGAGGAUUAUGAUGCAGAUGAUCUUGAAGCUGAUUCUACAAGUAUUCGCCAUUGUCGAAGAGAAUCUCGAUCGGGGUUUUAGAGUUUUUGCAACAGUUUUUUGUUUGUUUGUUUAAGGUUCGAAAAGCUUAUUGUAGACUUUAGUUUGUGGUUUUUGCGUCUGUGUAAUUGUUUAUAUAGAACUCAGGUCCUCAAUUUGUUUUCCUUAUUUACUUAAGGAAAUUAACAAAAUCCUGAUUUACUUAUGGGAAAAAGAAAAGAUUUCGUGUAUAAAUUUUGGAAUGGGUUUUAUCUUCUCUUAAUUAAAUUAUCAACUAUAAAAUGCACUCUCGAGGCGUAUAUGUAUAUUUAAUAGAUUAGAUUAUACUUUUCUAUUGUAUAUCGAAAACAAAAUAUGAAUGUAGACUAUGUACAGUUAUGAGUUUUAUUGGCUAACCAUAAAAAUAUGAGCAAAAAAAACAAAAUUAAUAAUAAAAGAACAUAAUUUUGUAAGAUUAGUACGGAUAUUUUUAAUUUUUUCUUACAAAUAUACAUGGUUCAGUUUUUUUUUCUUUCAAAUAUAACACUUCAAAAUCAAAUUUGUGUUAUUCUGAUUAACUUUUUAGUUGUAAGAAUGUGUGAAAAUAAACUGGAUAUAUAUGAUAUCCAGUCUUUUGAGUUUUGACCACCAACAGAGGAUUUAGGUGUCAUAAAUUCAAUAUUUUCUUACACCGUAAUGUACAUUUACCAUUUAUCCAAAAAAAUAAAAGAACAAAAAUUAUGAUCAAGAAGGCUAAACAAUUGACACCAUAAUGACCAAUGUUUUCAUUGUUGUACCAUUUUUUGUUCGCGAUAUAUAUACCAUAUUGCAGCACAAAGGUAAUAUAAAUAAGUCUAUUGGCUAAUCAGUAGAAACAUGUAAAACCCUCAUAGGACCAUUGUUUUCACUCUUCUCACAAAUACCGGUUACUAAUCGACAUAGUUUCCUUCCAAGAUUUUAAGUAAUAACAAAACAAAAAGCAGCUAAGAUUGGUGGAAUUGCCUCUGCCGUUCUUGAAACCUUUCAGUAGCAUCCUCUGCUCCAGCUUCAAGAUCAGACAUAUCGUCUUCUUCUUCUUGUUGUUGUUUGUGGUAUAUGGUGUUAGAAGAGUGGCCAGUGGUCUUGGAACGGUGAAGAGUGGUUCCAGAGAUGCUGAAACUCCCCGACCCACCAAGUGUCUUGCUCGGUAGCUUCCUCGCUUUGCCUUUCUUCAUUUUGAUGUCUUUGUGCCACUUCUUCAAUGCCUUUGCCAUUUGCUCAUCAAACACUGCUUUCUUCAUGUGUGAACCCAUCUUCUCACACAUCAAACACAACAUUUCAUCAGCAUUUCUUUCUUUUCUUUCAUUCAAAACUCCUCUCAUUAUGAGAUCAUUUGGCUAGAAUAUCGAAAACUGUUGUUUACAAGUUUACCUGAGUCACAAGUGCGUAUAACGGGAGAGUGAUGUAGCUGCAUAAGAUCAAAGCUCCUAGGCUGCAUAGACAUACAUACAUCCUCAUAUUUUAUUUAUACCUUUUCAUCCAUUCUAAGAUGCAUAAUGAUGGUUUUGAAUAAGCUUUUUACCAUAGAAAGAGUUUGAUGAUUACAAGAUUGAAAUCUUUGUGGAAGCAUGAUUUUAAUCCAAAAGAAUACUGCAAAGGCCAAUUUAUAUGAGUUACUAAGUAAUAUCAUUUCUCAAACUAAGAACAGAUGCUUCUUUCUUUUUUUUACCCAUAUCCAGAAGAAGUGUGUUAUCUGGAAAGCAUUCUGCAUAACACAGAGGAAAUGAAAUAACGAUUAAAGAGAAACAUUAUACAACAACACAUAAAUCUGCAAAUAAAUGAUAUUUCACGAUGAAUUCAAGCAGAAGAAGUCAUAUUUUAUUAUUACCUGAAAUAAGGAAAAGUGGAUAAGAUGAAGAAGCAGUUGAGGACAAUCGAACCAAAAGUAUCGAUCUGAACCUUGCACUAGAGGCAUCCCUUGAACUACUGCGUGUGUCUCUGCGAUUUCUAGCGCCAUUGUUGCCAUAAUCGCUUGAAGCUUUGUUCCUACAGCUAGUAUUAUCUGCAAAAAAAAAAGACUUAUAUUCUUAAAAUAAAAAACUUCCAAGAAGAUUUGUUUAGUCAAAUGAGUGAGAUUAUCUUACAAGCACAGGAGGUAUUGAUGCCCAAAACAGUGUUCUCCAUCCUAGAAAGUGAACAGAAACAUUUCAGUAUAUCAAAAUGAUCAAUUGAAUCUUAAGUAAAAGAGAGAGGAAUAGAUAUAGCUUACCAUUAACAUUAAACAGCAAGAAGAUCACAAAUGAUGCCCAAAGAAUUGGACUGCAGAGCAAAACAAAACACGUUAUAAGACCGGAUAAAGAAGCAAAAAACUUUCAUUUGUAUUUGAAGAUUGGGUUGUGUUGUACCUUAUUCCAACUAUUAACUUGAAAUCAUCCUCUAGAGAUCUUUUGAUAUAUCUCUGGAAGUUGAACUUUCUUCCCGGGGCUAAAUGAGCCUGAAUAAAUUUACAAGAAUCACACAUCAAGAAAGAAUUUGAAAGAAGAAAAGAGAGAGAUGGAUGAUUUUGGCUCACAGAGAUGAAUCCAUGGCGUAGAGUCAAGUAAUCGGUUCUUCCCACGGAUACAAAGAACUGCCUUAAGAAGCAUCCCUGUAACAUUCUUUCUUUUCUGAGACUCAAAAUAAUGAAAUCAAGAACGUUUGAUGCAAUUGGAAGAAAAGAAAAUGUUUUAUUUACCACGUAAAAGAAGAAAGGAAUUGUCGUCCAGAAACUUGUAUAAGAUUUCACAAAAGAAGUCUCAUGAGUGAGCCUAAGUCUUGAAUGAUCUGCACCACACACAAAAAAAAAAAAAAGUUAAGUCUUAAAGACAUUAAAAAACUAAAACCUCAGGGGUUUAAAACAGAAUCUGAUUAACAAGAUACCAAUAGAGAACUCGUAAUCAUGAGAUAAUGUCUCUUGCUCCCACUUUUUCCAUCCACGGAUCUGCCAUAAAGCCAUUACAAAAUUACUAAAUGAAGCAUUUUUUUCACUCCAUUAAACACUGAUUUUGAUCAAAAACUAGAUUUGUUUGUACCUUGAGUCUGCUAAGCAUCAUGGUGAUUAAACUAUAAAGAAUAUGAAAGAUAGCCAAGAAGAACAACAAGAUGUGAAGUUGGUGCAAGCCUUUCAAAGUUAUGAGUGGCUCGGAUCCGAUUUUGCAAUUCACAUAUAUAUCACCAGCAGCCAAAAGAUGUCUGCUAAGAGAUGGAGCGAGAGUCUUUGCGUUUUCAAAUGGACAAGGUAACAUAGAGAGUGCAGCUUUUGAAGGAACGCAGAUCUUGAGAAUGUAUGUUUCUCCAAAGGUGAGUAACAAGGAAAUGAAUCCAAGAGUCAUCAGCUCUGCAUAAUCAAUCACCAUUUCCUCUAAGGCUUGAGAAAAAAACAAAUCAAGCUUUGACACAAUAGCAAUCAUUACUUACCAGCUUUGAUUUUCUCUAAGGCUUCAAGGAGAGAGUUUUUAUGCUUCUUCCAUAACCACUGAGAGAAACGAAUUAAAGAUGGUUCAGACCUUGAUUAUUUGAACAACAACACUUACAAGAAAAUGAAUAAUUAAGAAGAAGAAAGCAGACGUUGGCGAGUCUUUGAAGACCCUUUUCGAGGAGAUGGGAUAUAAGGAUGAGAAAUGUGCAGACGACGGCGACGGCCCAAGUUGGUGUCUGAGAGAGUGUUUUCUCGCUGGAGGGAGCUCCAGUAGCGGUAGCUCCGCCGUGGAGCACAAGGAACCAUAACAAAGAUCUCUGACUCUUGCUUCUUGUGAUCAUGAGGGAAGGGAGAGGUAGAGAGAGAGAAGAUACAACUAACGUAGAGUUUAAAACUUAUGUUAGUGCUUCUUAAUUACUAUGUUGUGCAACGUAAGUUAUACUUGUAUUCAGAUAAAGAAUUGGUUUUCAUUUGACUAUAUUUAUUGUGAGAUUAAUUAGAACCACAAUAAAAGUAUAUGUUUAUGUAAUUUUGCUCAUUUAAAAAGAAAUCUCAUAAAUUAAAGAAUAAAUUGUGUAUGUUCUCAUCAAGAUGUUGUAGUUCUGUGUUGACAGAAAACAAAUGUGUAGUUCAGUUUUGUAACUCAUCCCUUUAGUUAGUGGAAGUUACUUUAGAGAUAAGUUAAUGCAAAAUAUUAAUACAUUUGACUACAUAUUUGCUUUUUGAUAACCAUAUUUUUUCAAACACAUGCUAUUACCAAAGACACAAGAUAUGAUCAAAACAAGUGAAUACAAGAUGUGGUUUGACACAAGAUAUGAUCAAAACAAGUGAAUACAAGAUAUGGUUUGUACUUUAGUUGUUUGUAAUAAUGUUGUACCCAUGUCAUAAUGGGGACUCAGUUGAUAAUUAGUAGGCGAUAAUCAAUUGAAAAUUGUUGAGAAACUAAGAAAGUAACCAACAUCUUUAAAAAAAAACAGAGCUUCCUAUGUUAGAUGGUAAAUUGCCUUAUGUUGUAAUUUAGUUUCAUGAACUGCUUUUUCUUUGAAAUAUGAUGAUGAUAACUUUAUUUGAUGAUUACUAGGUGAAACUCUCUAAUAAAUUUUGAAUUUCAAACUCUCCUUGUAGAUCGAAAACAUGUGGCGGAUGGAGAUGGCUUAACACACGUGGUUGUAAAGAGUAACCAGAAGAAGAGUUCUCUCCUCAGGAAUUCAGAAUUCGACUAAGAUAAUUAUAAGAAUUGUUCAAUUAGAUUUUCUAGUAUUGUUUUGUGUUUGAUCUAAAUAUCUUUUUGUGAUGGAUAAAACAGAGGAAUUGAUGCAUCCAAAAUGAAAAUGUCUCAUGGGAAUGAAGCAAAAGAAAAAAUCUGUGAAAUUGUUCAAAACAAGUCUCAAAGUUGAAGUUUAUGGAAGUGAUCGUUAUGGUUGAUUAUUAGCAAACGUUUUACUGUGAGAACAUGUUUGUUCUGGUAAGUGUUAAUUUUUUCUUAUUUAUUGUAUUUUCUGUUACAUAUUUUUAUAUAGGUUAUCUCUGUGUAGGAGUUGAUGUUAGGCAUUGGCCUCGCUUGGCACUACAAAGCAUACGACAGCUUGCAAGAUCUUUGGAGCUUUGUUUUAGGCAAUGAAUUUUCUGACUUUUGGAGAUGAGAAGGACUAAUUCACCCACUUAAGUUGAAGCUUAUUCCGAGAUAACCAGAAAUGAUAUUAAAAAAUUCUUGGAAAAGUAUAUUUUUUUUUGUAUUUCUUGGAAAAUAAAGCCAAGAGCUUGGGAGCGUUUUUUUUAGAUCAGGAUGGUCAAUCUAAUAAUAGUAUCUCUUAAGGUUUAUCGAAUUCACGAAUAGAGAACUGGAGUUUCAUCCAAAUUUACUGGCGUUUCUUUCUUCUAUAUUCUGAAAAACCUUUCGAAGAACAAGAUCGCUAUCCUCGAAAAAACAACCACAUACUUUCUUAUUGUAAUAUCGAGCUGCCAUGUGCUGGUAAUUCUGAAUUUGGAGUAAUGUUUGGUCGCGCUGUUCUUCAAGUUCGUCAUAUUUUAUGAAGAGCAUUUGAUCAUUGAGUUUGAUAUUUUGAGUGAGCAUUGUACAUCUGAUGGUUGGAAUUUCGAUCUCAGCCAGGCAGAGACUUCCAUUCCAUAGCUGGAAUUGACUGGUGUUAUUUAAAAAAAAAUAGCGUGAAAAAAACUUUAACGGCUACCGUACUCUGAGCGAGUGCAACUUCGUCUUUAGACUUGGUGCUGGACAUCAACAUCUCGAACCCCACACGGCCACACGGGUGCGCGAAAAACUCGUCCAGACUUCUGAUCAGCUCCACGUGUUCGAAUACGAUUUUGGACCUAUGGUUUGUGGGGGAUAAGACUGCUCCGGUGAUAGCGAGGCAGGCGUAUUUCAGCCUGAUUUCGCGGUCGACGACAGUCCUUUUUUUCAACAUCUUGACUGCCAGGUCGAUGCUACAUGCUUUUAGAUUUCCAAACAAAUCGGGCCAAUAGGGUUUCACCAGGACGGGGUUUCUCUUUUUCUUCUUCUGCUUCCUCGGAUAUUUUCCACACGGCAAACCGGUGACUAUCGCAAAUUCCCUAAGAGAAACCCUAACCGAUUUCCCGGCGAACAGAAUCCAUAUUUCGUAUUUUUUGCUAACCUUUAGCAGCCGCGUGAUGAUAAAAUGUCUGAAACUGCCGGAAAGUGCAGGCUUCUCCGCUGUCGCAAUAAGUUUCCCAAAUGGCGAUUUUUUUAGGAAAUCUCUCUCCUCUUCGUCCAAGGCGCUCAGAAUGUUGUUGAUGGCCUUAGAUUUGUGAUAGCAGUUUAUCCUCUCGCCGAUUGGUUCUUCGCCAGCUGCAAAAAUCCUCUCCAGUAAGGAUGGUUCCAUCUUUGGUUUUGUCUCUCCGUUGGUUUACAGAUGCGUAGUACACUCUGUGCGGCAAAAAUAAAAAAGGUGCUCUCUCUGAACCGUCGACUCGGUUGGACGCAAAAUACACACCUUUUGACCGGAAAGAUGUUUGGUUUAAAUAGUGAGAUGUAUUGAUUGCACAUAUUAUAUUAAUAUUUUAUUCGUCCACAAUCUGACAAAUUAUUUACAUAGGUCAUAGUUAUGCUUCUAGAUAUAUAGGGGCUAAUGUGUAUUAACAAAAAAGUAACAGUAUCCAAUUCUGUCCUUGGUUAUUUUUGCAAAUACUUAUGGUAAGGAUAGUUAUUUGUUAUAAUUAUUCUUUUUUUUUAUUUUUUUUAAAGGAAGAUAUUGAGAAAUUUGGAAAGAGCAAAAUAAAAACCUGACACGGAGUAAGCACUUUGCCUUUUAAGUAACUAACAUUUCUAAUAUGCUUAGAAGAAAAAAUAAACAACUUUCAUAAUUUUCUCCAUCUCUAAGACACCAAUUCAUUGGUUCAAUUAAGUCUGAAAUAGCUUAAUAAAAUUACAUAUAAAAGCCCUCGCCGGAGGAACAAAUCAAAAGCAAUUGCUCGAAGCUGUGACCUAAAGAGUUACAACUUGGCACAAAAUCCAGACUCAACUCCAACUGCAAACGCAUAUAACAAAACUCUACUUAAUGUCCCUUCAUUUAAAAAAUUGUCUUUUUGAGAUCAAUCUGAUUCUUUAUUGGUUUGACAUUUCUGAAAAUGACAAAGCAAAUAAGGGGAGGGAGAGAGAGAGAGCAACUUAUGAAUGUGUCCUUCUCCUACACCUUUUCUAAUCACUCUUACCCUCCUGAGAUCCAAUCUCCUGUAGGUAGUGCUCUGCAUCCAAAGCGGCCAUACACCCUGCCACCAUCCAUAAAUUGUGAUCAGAGUCGCUUAUGAAAGUGUGUAUUUUUAAUUCAUGAAACGAAAGAGAUAACAUUUGCAAGGUAUGCAAAUUGGGUUUUACAGAAACACACAAUCACCGCUAAGAACAAUCUGAUUUCAGUUUAGUGAUCAGCAGAGUUCAAAGACCACACACCACAAACGUCUAAUUGCUAAUUAUGUCUGCUUAUCUUAUAACCACAAUAGAAACGGUUUAAUAUAACUUGCAGGCUCGCAAAACACCUACUUAGAACAAUUAAUGACCACUACUUAAGUCUUCUAAAGAGUAUGAAAAUGAGCGUAGAUAGCCUUUAACCCCAAACAACGGCAAGAGCACAAAGAUUACUCUAUACCAAACACAAAUCCCAUGAACUCAUGACUCAAACAGUACUUUGUUAAGUGAAUCAAAUGAUACACAAAGCAAGGCACUUUGAGAACAUGCAAGUGUUCCAUGAUAAGAAGCUAUCUACUUUAAAACAAAAAACAAUUCCUUUUAAACAGAUCAAUCAAACAACUAAACAGAUAAACAAUUGUUCACUUAGCCAAAAAAAUAACUACCAAAAUCUCCUUAAAACAUUGUGCUAUUAGCAUGAAAAUGAACGUAGAUAGCCUUUAACCCAAAACGACGGCAUAACACAAAGAUUGCUCUAUACCAAACAAAAUUCACACGAAAUCAUGUCUCAAACAGUACUUUGUUAAGUAAAUGAAAUGAUACACAACGCAAGGCACUUUGAGAACAUGAAAGGGUUCAUCAUCAGAAGCUAUGUACUUUUUUUGGAAAAAAACGACUCCUUUUGAACAGAUCAAUCAAACAAACAAUUAUGCUAAACAGAUAAACCAGUGUUCACUAAGCCAAACACCAAACUACCAAAUACUCCUUAAACAUUGUGGUAUUAGGCAACAAGCCAAUAACAAGCACACACCAGAUGCUUCUGUAUGACAGAUUCUACUCAUGAUUUCAAACACCUAACUCAUUGUGCAGAAAAUGGCGAAAAGAAAAGUAGAGAACAAACCGGUUCCUGCAGCCGUGAUGGCUUGCCUAUACUUCUUGUCUUGAACAUCUCCGGCGGCGAAUACACCGACCACGCUCGUCUUUGUGGUACCAGGCUUGGUCAAUACAUAACCAUCUUCAUCAAGCUCAAGCUGCCCAUCUAGGAAUUUCGUCGCUGGCUCAUGACCAAUGGCGAAGAAUAGUCCAGAAACCUUCAAAUCAGACACAUCUCCAGUAACGACGUUCUUCACCUUCAAUCCUCCGAGAACGCCUUUACCGUUCUCGUCUCCGUAUGCCUCAACCACCGAAGAGUUCCAAAUCACUUCGAUCUUAGGGUUUGAAAACGCUCUCUGCUGCAUAAUCUUAGAAGCCCUGAACGUGUCUCGCCUGUGGAUAAUAUAAACCUUAGAUCCGUACUUGGUGAGGAAAUUCGCCUCCUCCAUAGCCGAAUCGCCGCCGCCAAUAACCACCAGAGGCUUGUUCCUGAAAAUCGGAGCAGCUCCGUCGCAUACAGCACAAGCGGAGAUACCGCGAUUCCAGAAACCUCCAGCGCCUUCACCAGAUCCAGUGAAGCUAAGCCGCUUGGCUACAGCUCCGGUGGAAAUGAUUACGGCGUCGGCGAGGACGGUUCUCGAAUCGGUGAAAAGCUUAAACGGCUUCGAUGAGAAAUCGACCUUGUUGACCGUCUCCGUGAAAAUCUUAGUACCGAAUCGCUCCGAUUGCUUCCGGAAUUUCUCGACGAUAUCAAGGCCGAGGAUACCAUCGGGGAAUCCAGGGAAGUUCUCGACGUCGGUGGUUGUGGUUAAUUGACCGCCGGGAGCGAUAUCGUUAGCCAUCCAUCCUUCGAAGAGAAGAGGUUUAAGCUCCGCCCUAGCCGCGUAGAUCGCCGCCGUGUGUGCCGCUGGGCCACUUCCGACGAUGCAGAGCUUGGUUUUAUGGGUUUCCAUGACGGCGGCGGAGGAUGAAGACAACGCGGAGGCUAGAGACGGCGGAUUUGAAGAAGAAGCUGAUGAUGCAAUGGAGAGAGCAGAUCCAAGUAGAAAACCUCCUGCUCUGCUUGUUAUAUACUUUAAUUGGCUCAUAGAGAUCCGACACACGUUUCAACAAAGACGACCACUUUAUUUGAAUUCACCUUUUCACCUUUGAAAAGUUUAAUUAUUAUUAUUAUUUUUUAAGUUAAAUUAUUUUUAGAGAUUUGCCCUUAAAAGUUUUGCUUAGAUCAAUUCAGGCCCAUAUUGGCAUAUUGCAUGCAAAUUAUAUUACAUGCCCAUAUUACACUCAAAAGGCAAAUUAUUAUAUGGAAAAGACCAUAUCACUAGCAAUUUAGUACCAUGUGCGAAAUAAAUAUUAAUUAUAAUUCUUUUAUGUAAAUAUAAAAAUAUAAUUAUAAAACUUUAGCUGAUAUUUAUAAUUGUAAAUAUAUAUGCUAAUUAUAUCUUUAUUUUUUAAUAUAAUUGUAUAAAUGUUAGAUAAUUAUUAAUUUUAUAAUUAAUUAUAAUAUCAUUUUUAUAUGAAUGAAAUUGCAUAUUAGAUAUACUAAAUUAGAUUAAUAUGUUCUAUCUAACUGGUCCAACAUGAGACUAAUAUAUUUUGUUUUUGAUAUAAUUUUUUUUAAUUAUAAUAUUUAUAAAAAUAUUUAAAUGUUCUUAUUAUUAAAUAGAUAACAUGAUUAUUUUUUUAACAAAAUUAAGAUUAAAGAAAUAUGAGAUAGGAAAAAUAAUGUUUAGUAACAUAAGUAAUUAUAUUAUGUAUUAAUUUUUAUAAAUAUGUUGAUAAAAAAAUAGAAAAAGAGAAAAUAUUUUUACAAAUUAAAAUUUUGAGUAUUAAAUAUAUAAUUGAUAUAAAUUAAUCUCUAAUCAAAUUAAUAUUAAUGACAUAUGAUGUAAUUAAUUAGUAAGUUGAACCUAGUUUAAAAAAAUUCCAGAGAAAUUCUAUGAGAUUGAAAUCUUAGUAUGACACUCAUGUAAAUAAUACAUGAGACAAAAGUUUUUUUAGUAUCUUUAUCAAUUAAUAAUAUAAGAUUUUUUUAGAUUUUAUAAUCUUUAUCAAUUCACUUUAAUCGCGAUAUGAAUUAUUUUUGAUACAUAUGCAAAGCCGGUUCUGAAUUUUGUUAAGCUAGAAGUAGAGGAAAAAAAUUGGCUACUUUAUCACAUUCUCAGGCUCAAACUCAUGACCUCGAGAAAAUAUCUACUUGUUUUAAACCACCUGCUUUGACUAUACUUUAGAGAAAUUGGCCUUUAAAAUAAUUUGAACCUUAUUGGCUGCUUCAUGAGCUUCUAUUGCUUUGCACGUAUGUAAAGACUAAUCAAAACAAUUAAGCACUUCUUCUGUUUGAUAUGGUUAUAUUUUGUCAUCUCUCUUUGACCAGUUUCUCUUAUAAUGAAAAGAUAUCUCUUUCUACCAAUAUCUCUUAUAAUGGAAAAAAUCUUUUACCAUGGAAACAUUUACCAUCAUAUAUAUUGACCUCAUUCACUCAUAAUGAAAGAUAUGUCUAGCUUUUUUUUGUAGUUUCAAACAAAAUAACAGUGAGUUCCCAUUUAAGGUAAAGCAAAAAUAUUGUAAUUCGGAAAACUAAUUGUUCGGUAUUCCUAUUUAAAUUUAAAAUUCCAAUUAUUUGGAUCUUGAAACUUAUAAAGUCCCACAUCGAAAGAAAUGAAAUCAAUAAAGCUGCAUAUAUAGAUGAGAGAACAAUGCAUUAAUCGCCGAGCUUGGUAACGUAAGCUUGUUAUCCGAGUGGAGGCUUAAAGGAUAGUGGAACGUUGGUUCAAGUUAUGAGGUAGGGCUCGUGUUUAUGGUUACACUGACCCGCCCAAUCCAAGCCAGGUGCUGAGUCAAGUGGUCUAGGUGAAGGCUUGAGCCAUGUGGCUCUUAGAGUGGAGGGCAACGCAUGAGACUGGUUUCACAGAGCAACGAACACUUCCCGUUUCUGUCGGUGGAUGGAUUGCGGGUUAGAGCAGGGUCAUUAGAAAUUUGGGUACAGGUUCAUGAGAAUUGUGGAUUAAAAAUAAAAGAAAAAAAGCCAAUACUAAAGGAUCGGUUCAUCCGGUAGACUCCGAAGACCCUGUAUCCGAACCACGUGGAAAAUUUUGAUUGGGAAGAGUUUUAUAAUUUUGAGAGAUCGAUUUUUUUUUUCUUCUUAUUUUUUCCCCAGAUACUUUCUCUUCUCCCCUUCCCCGCUAGUUUCUCUUCUCUCUUUGCGACGAUUCUCUGUCGGCGAACAGAGAGUUCCAAUCCAGAUUUCGUCUUGAACUUGCAAUCUCCUUGAUUCAGCCAGCCACAGACCCAGAUUGUCAAAAAGAGAGAAACGAAGAAACAACGAUACCUGUGCAUGAGAAGACGAGCCCAAUGACGAAAUCCGAAAAGGAAGAGAGACGAUACAGUGGAAGGCAAAUUAGGUGACUCUAAAACGAUACUUUGGAAGACGAUACUGUGGUAUGCGAAUAAGGUUAUGUCAGAAGAGAUUCAAGUUGAUACAGAGAGGUAAAUUUUGUUCCAUCGACUUCAUUUGGAGCACUGAUGUUGUGAUUAUGUUUCAGCUAUGUAUAUUGAUUGCGUCUUCUUCAUGGUUGUUUCAGUAAAGAAGAAGAUGGGGUCUUCUUCAUUGCUGUCAAGAUCAGAACACAACGAGGAUUAACAAUGAGAUCAGAACACAACGAGGAUUAACAAUGAGAUCAGAACACAACGAGGAUUAACAAUGAGAUCAGAACACAACGAGGAUUAACAAUGAGAUAAGCUUUGACUCGAUGCAGCAACCAGUAGAAAAACCACAUGAUCGAUGCUACAUCUUAUAUCUCGCCAUUUUAUGUUUGAGUCAGUGCUUUACAGAAAAUGAGAAACGCUUUGUUGACCACAGAUUCAAUGGUCGUGACUAUGGUCUCUUGUCCACAUUCACAGGGUCUUCCUUCUCUUCUUUCUUCUCUUUUUUCUUGGACUCAGCCGCAGGAGCAGCACCGCCACCUCCACCACCAGCGGAUGGAGCAGAAGCCAUCGCAACACCACCACCGCCUGAUGGCACUGAAGCCAGCUUCUCCCUUCCAGCAGCAAUCAGCUCAGCUAAGUCUUUCCCUUUCACUUCCUUUAACAAAAGCUCAAUCUGAGCAUCUUCAGUUUCAGCACCAACUACAAAACAAAAGAUAACAAGUAAGACUCCAUGAUUCCCACAACACAGUCCCAUUUUCACACCACAAAUGCAGCUUAUACGAUCACAUUGCUCAUCAUAUAUUCAUUACUCCAAGUUUGAUUGUAAACAACUUCACAUUUACGUUCCAGCAAGUAAAUGUCUUAAGGCCUAUCACGAACAGAGUGAGAAAGGAGAUGCUCUCUAUUGUAAGCUCAUGUUCAUAUCUAUAAAUCAUUUUUGCAUAUAACAUCGAUUUAUAUCUAUGUGCAUAUCUUUGUGUCUCUUAUGUUGUUCUUGUGUCAUUGUGAUAUCUUGGCUUCUUCUUCUUCCUGAAAUAUUAAACUUGUUAUGUGCUACACAUCCAUCUUUUAAGUCCCAACAUUUUAUUUUAAAGAACCCUUAAAUGGAGUUCACUAAUGGAGGAUCAAAAUAAUAACAAGUUCAUUACUGUUCAUAAUUGCAAAAAAAAUUAAUAUAAAAUUCUGGUGAACUCCAUAGAAGAGUUCACUAAUGAACAUGGUCUUAGAUCCAUCCUCGUUCACAAUCGGACCAUUACUUUUUAUUUUUAUUUAUAUAUUUAUUAGUCAAUAAUUUUUAGGAAAAUAAUAAUACGAUGAGACAUUUUUUCUCCACAAUACCUAUGAUCUUUAUUAAACCAUGUGAUAUUGUGAUCUAUGUAAAAGGUUUUCACCAUAUUCUCAGCUUUAAUUAAAAGUGACGAAUUUUCCAAUUUUCACUUUGUUUACUUUUGUACAGCUCAAAUUUGAAUGAUAAAAUAUUUUAUUAUAUAAAACUGAAUGUUUCAAAAUUGCUAAUUUAUUUAAUUGUAUCAAGUCAAAAUUUUCUAAAUAGAUUUUAUCAAAAAAUUUCUAAAUAUAUUUUAUAAUAUUAACAAUAAAAAUAAAAUUCAAGAAGAUUAGAAAAACUUGGAAGCAAAAAGAUUGGAAGUGUGGUUAAAAGAAAAAUAGACAAAGCAAUGCAUAACGAGAAAUCGUAUUAUUGGGUUACUAGAUCAUAGUGCAUGGUUAGGUGAUUGGGUUGAUAAGGAAGAUGAAAAAAAGUUGCAGAGGUAGCACUUGGUCAUAUGGAAUCUAAGGUAGGGAACUCUUAGAGCAUAUGCAAUGGGGUAUUUAGAGCAUUUUUCAGAUUUUUUUUGUAUUUAAUUAAAUCAGAAAGAAAAUAAUUUGCCAGAGACGUCUCUUAUUUAGGAGAUGCAAGAAACAUCUUUUAAAUACACGUGGCUUAUUGUUAUUGGACAACAAAAAAUAGAAGAAAAAAUAUUUUUAUGGUCCUGUUUUUUUUCCCAAUAAUUCAUUCUCUCCUCUUCCUUUUCUCCGUAGACGACGAAUCUGGCUGCUCUGACUGUUUCCGACCGAGGCAACUCUGCCGACCGAGGCGACUCUGCCGACCGAGGCGAAUCUGCCGACCGAGGCGACUCUGCCGACCGAGCCGGCGAAAUCGAGUUCGACUAUAGGUUAUCACCAGCCAAACCAAUUUUCCAGAACUCGGCGAAUCUUCCAAUGGUUGCCAAACCCAUCUACGGUAUCGUUUCCGAUGCUGUCUACUUCUUUGGCCAGCAUCGAAUCGCUUACAUCGCAUUUGGAGGUAUGCAUACGAACCCAAUCAAAGUUUUUAGUACAAGUUUUGGACUUUGUAAAUUUAGGAAAAUGGUUUCCUUUAGGUUCUUUGACGUGCUCUGAGACUUUGAUUUAGAAUUGUGUAUUAGAAGAAGAUCAAUAGCCUGACAUAACGAGUUGAUUGAGUUUUGAUCGAAGAAAAUGGUCUCUCUCUCUUGUGGCAAUGUAACUCCAUGAUUUGGAAAUGUGAUUCAGAGUUGAUUGAGAAAAAAAUGGUGUAUUCUUGUGGCAAUGGAUCUUCCUAGUUUGGAAUUGCGAAUCAGAAUUGAUUGAGAGAAUUAGGAUUCAGGUGUUGGAUUCUGUAGUUUGAUCUUUGUUUCUGCAGCGUCUGGCUUGUUGUGUCUCUGUUCUCUUACAAUCUAUUGCAGAUUGUUACCUUAUCACGUCGUGGCAGUUUACGAAGCAGAAGAGGACGACAGAAUCCUCGAUUCAGACACAACAAGCCAAACGCUAUCACACAAUCAGCUAUGGGACAACAACAUUGCAGCCAAAGUGGCAGAAUUCACGGCGACAUUUGAGAAGCAAGCCCAAGCUUUCAACAUAAUAACUCAAAAGAGAAGGGAGUGGAGAGCUCAGAUCCGAAGAAAUGUUGAUGGUUGAGCAAGCUUUGCUCCAAGACGAGAGAAAAGCAUGUGUUGAUGUGAAAUCAGAGUUGGAUAGAGAGAUGAAGGCUCAGGAGGCGAGGUUAAGAAUGGCGGCUUUGGCUCAAGCAGGACAAGUGAAGGCAGAGUCACACCAAUCUCAUACCGAGAUGAUGGCUCGCAACCUGCUGAGAGCUAAUGCGAUUGGGAAUCAUGGAGAAGGACGUAACAUGAACCCUGAUGAGAUGAUGAUGAUGAUGAUGAUGCAUGGAUGGGGAGUUUGAUUUGAAUACUCGGUAAAUGGAACAAAGAGAUUAUACUUUUCCUUUUUUCUCUUUCUUUUUUGGUGAUCCAAAUACUUGCAGAGCUUGAAGGCUCGAUGGUUGUAGUUAAAACUUGAAAGGUGGUGAGAGAUAACUUGUAUAUAUGUAUAAAUCAUUAUUAUCAUUUUUUAAAAAAAAAAAACUUAAUUGGGUCUCUACCAUUGGACCUACUAAAAAUGAAAUUUUUUUCAAUUGGUUUCUAACCCAACUUAAUAAUAAAAAAAUGGUUAAAAGAUCCAUCAAAAUCUCUCCCAUUGCACAUGCUCUUAGAUAAUGUUUUGCUCAAACCUAUUUAUCGUUAUUGAUCUAAAUAAUAGAAUUUGCUCUCGUGAGCUACAUAUACUAAAACUACAAAUUUUUUCCUAAUUGUUUUAUAACAAACUGGUGUUACACAAUUAACAAAAACUAUAUAUAUCAUAUAAAUACAAUAUACUUCUAUGUGCCAACCAAUUCACUUUAGUAUUUAGAUCGCACAUGGUAUCAUUAUAGAAGCAUAUACCUUCAAAGAAUUUUUUUUUUUUUUUGCUAGCCUUAAUAGUUGGUCUUAAUAAUAGCAUUACUGUUACAUUCUAUGGAUUGAAAACAAAACCAUAAUAAUACAUUUUCAUUUUUUACCAGCGUAUUGACUUCUGAAGGUCCAACCAAAAGAGACACCAAAGAGAGGCUGGAGCCUUCGUUUUUUCACAAAUUUUUGGACAUUAAUAUAGGCUUUGAAAUUUGGGAUUGUCACGAGUUGCCAGCACGAAAAACAUUAAAAAUAUGGUUAACUACUAUGUUAGAAUUAACAAUUUGAAUAAACUAAACUAAUAAAACUGAUUGGAGGUUUUUUUUAUAACAUUUACGUUCUCUUCCUUCGAAUUUCACGAUCAACUGGAUGAUAAAAUAAUAGUUGGUCAACUCAUUUCUUGAUUUUUAUACAAUUUAAACUUGAUUAAAUAAACAAAUACAUGAUCAAGUUGAAGAAUUGUAAGUUGUAUACAUAUCUUCUCUUCAGUCUUUAUCAUAACAGAAGACGAACCAGAAAAGAAGAUCAAACAGGACAUUUCUCAUGGAGACACCAAAGACAAAGACGUGAGAAUAUAAUCAAAUUUCUGUAUCUUAAAUAUUAAUAGGUCAAAUAGCUAUCUCGAGUACAAGAUUUCUAUACUCUUUUCUUCUUUUUCUUUUUCUGUAUAGAGUUGAAGAUGUGGAGAAUGUUGAUGUUUAUACAGCAAAAGGUUUGCUUACUGUUGGUCAUCGAUAUGUCGAUGUUAGGUAAAUAUAAAGAUUAUCAUCAUUUCGUUUAGAUCCCUCUACAUAUACAUUUUGAUAUGUGUAUAUAUAAUUAUAUUAACUCUAUGAAUUGGUUGUAGGACAAAUGAAGAAUUCGCAAAGAGCCACUUUGAGGAUGCCUUGAACAUUCCCUAUAUGUUCAAAACUGAUGAAGGUGAUAAAUUAAAAAAUUUGCAAUAGUUCCAUAUCAAAAUAUAUUAUCGAGGAUGAAAGUUAAAAAUAUUGUUAAAUGGUCUGUAGGUAGGGUUGUAAAUCCUGAUUUCCUUUCUCAAGUAGCAUCCGGCUGCAAGAAAGAUGAUCAUCUCAUCGUGGUUAGAAUUAAUUUCUCUUAACUAUGACUAAAAAUUAAUUUUCAGAUAUUAGAUUUAGAUUUUAGCUAAUAGACAAUUUUCUCAUAAUUAAACUUUUGGUUAAGGCUUGUAACUCUGGAGGAAGAGCAAGUCGUGCUUGUGUUGAUCUUCUCAAUGCGGUGAGUCUAUAUGUAUACGAACAUAUUAUAAGUAUAUCUAUACAAAAAUACAUCGUACUUAACUACUUAUACAUAUGUAUAUAUGUCUAUACUCCGGCAGGGGUACGAGCAUGUAGCUAACAUGGAGGGAGGCUACUCGGCUUGGGUUGACGCUGGAUUCGCCGGCGAUAAACCUCCUGGUGAGCUCAAGAUUGCUUGCAAAUUCCGCCCAAAAGACAACUAAACCGGCCCGGUUUUGUUAUUCCUUAAAAACCGUUGAUAUAUUUCGGUUUAAUGCAGAAAGAAAGAAAACAUUUCGAAACUUUCUAAUGCUGUUGUGAUGUUGUGUUGUAUUGCUAAUAAAGGAAAUUUGUUUUGAGCUCGAUUAAGAGAAUUCUGAGACUAAAAUGUUCAAUAUCAAUAGAGAAAAUGUGGCAAGCAAGAAAGCAUAACGCAGGUCAACAAUAAAUAAAUAAAUAAAAAGGUUUGUAGAUUGGUGUUUCUCAAUGGCAAAGAGGUUUAAAGAUCUUGUGAUACAAAACAAUAGUGACUUUAAGAAUCUAAUCAAAGAGAAGAGAGAACACAAACUAGAUGGGCCUAAAUCAAAGUAAAUCCUAAAGUGGCUCUCUCACAGGUUGUGUUAUGCUGCUCUCAAUCAUAAUAUACAAUAAAGACUCUCAACAACUACUUCUAACAUUUCUUCUUCUUCUUCUUCUCUCUCUCUCUGUCUCGGAUCUUCAAGGCUUUGGUUAAACUGUAAAAUGUUUUCUAAUCAGAUUGCUCGAGUGGCACACGAACGAAUAACUGCCCGUUUAGGGUUACCACAGCCGAUGUAUGAUGCGGAUCAAUUCUUGUCGGCAAACUUACCACCUGCAGCAAUUCAAGAAACGUUAAGAAAAUGUCAUUCAACAUUCUAUAUAAUCAUAUCAUGUAACAAAAAUGUUUUGUUCUUGCAAACAGAUUUUGGAUUUGCAGAAGAUUAUAAGAAUCAAAUUUGUCUACCGAGCAUUACCUUUUUGAAAGGAGUAGCUCCCCAGGGGUUCAUAGGGUUCUCGGGUUCGCCACUUAUUACCAACCUUCCUGCCGGAUCUGAUUGGACUCGGACCUGUGAUAUUAUUUGCCAAGAUUAAUUGAUAAGUAAACAAAACGAGUGUUUCAGAUCAAGUAUCAAAGAUUCUAUUCCAAGUGUGUGAGAGAGCUAACCUCUUCACGGACAAGUCCUGGGACUAAUGCAUACACCUCAAAGCAAUCUUGCUGCAGUUUUGAACAGAUUCUUAUUAAUACAUUAUAAAGCCAGGUAAGUGAUUGCUCAGAUUAUCAAGAAAGCAACAUACCGUCCUCUGCACGUUAAUCUUCACCCAGUCAGCUGGUGGUCCAACAUCAACAACUGUCACAUCCAACCUUAAGAAAAACAAAAAAAACGGAUUCAGAAUUCAAAUGUGAUAUAUCACAUGUCGAAAAGUAAGAGCAGGAACACUAAUAAACCAUACAUUGGUUUAGACACUUGAAUGGCAUGUUUUGCACCAUGUUCAGUAGACGAUGGCCUCUUGCGUUUGAGCAAACCUGAUGACGUUGCAAGAUGUAAGUAACAAACUGAGUCAAAGUUUCAAUAAUACAAAUGAGAACAAAGACUUUCUUCAUCGAACCGAACUCAUACCAGGGGUGGUUCCUAUCUGUUUCUCGCGCUUUUGAUGAAGAACUAUAUUCUUAUCCUACAAAUUACAAAACAGCGAGCAGUUCAGACUAUGACAACAAAGUGAAUGCAAAAUGAAACAGAUGUUCUGUAACAAGAUUCUGUCGGACCUUAAUUGCAGGGUCAUUAACUUCACCGUUACCAUUAAGACGCUGUGAAUGCCAACCUUGCAUAGCACGUGCUGCUGCAUCUCUCCUCGCUCUACCUGAUCCAGAAGCCUAUAGGAAAGCAAUUUAUGUUAAUACAAAAACAUUAAUCAUGAGAAGAAGGUGGUCAAACAAAAACCACAGACGCAUGAUAUAAUUUUCACGAUUUUACCUGAUUAUCAAUAUUCAUUGCUUCUGGUUCAGAAGCAAGGGGUAUACGAAGUUCACCCCCCAUGACUUUUUGCCGCUCAUAUUCAAGAAGAGCCUGAAGAAUAAAGAAACGAGAUAACGUUACAAGAUCUUAAAGAAAAAUAUAUCUUUACAGGAUUCACAGUUGUUCUCUGUUCAAUCAUUUUAAAUUUCAGAAGGAUUGAAGCACAGAGUCCCAUGCCACUGUAUAAAUCUUGUAAUAAUGGAAAAUAAACAACAGAGAAUGGAGAAAGGAAAAAACGAGGGUGGACAUAUAAUCUUACCUUUUCGUAGAAACCUCGGAAAGUCCAUGACACUGUUGUACAUGUCCUGGACAAACAAUUGAGCAAUUAGAACAAAUUCUUGGGAAUAUGCAAAUAAUUUCCUAAACUCAAUAGUAAAUGACCAAAGUCCUCUUACUUUGGGGGCCUGAAAGACUCUCCUACUUGCCGCCAUAGUUUGCAUCCAGUAACCUAUUAAGAAUAAAGCUUAAAUUAAUCAUAUUCGACUAUCACCAAAAGCCACUGCUAGAGAAAAAUCGGAGAGAAAAGAAAGGCCGAAAUGCAAAAGCGACAAAUGCUCGUCAAUCAUCAGGCGCAUUGACAGUGGGACGUACCUUGUCAUAACCGCCCAAUCUAGUUACAGCUCUCCACAACCUUACACCAAAGAAAUUAAUCCAAUAUCAGCUUCCACUGAAAAUUUUACAGCGUAUAAUAAAACUAAAUAAAGAGGGGAAGAAAGCUUACUUAAGGCAGUUUAGUCCCUCCCCAUAAAAUUUUGGAGGUUUGAAUUCCAUCUCUCUCUCUUUAAAAAAGUUACUCAACUCUUUCAUAAAAGCAGAUUGAUCCUCCUCCGUUCCAGAUUCAUUACCAUCAGACAUAUCAUCCAAGAGGAAAGAGCGCUUCAUUACCCUCCCAUCAAAACCGGGUGGUGCCUCACCUAUUUUAUGGACCCCAUUAUUCAAAUCUGCACUUCCCUCCACUUCAGACUUUAAAUUGGAAGAUGCAACACAAGGAGGAGCAGAUUCGCUUCUCACUAAUGCAUUCUCAUUAUCAGCAUUAUUUCUCUCAGGUACGAUAUAAUCAUCUUUCUUUUCAGUAUUAGUAGGAGCCUCGACAUUCACAUCCUUGUUAUUAGUAGAGUCAAAACUAGCAUCAGUGACCAAUUUAGAAUCAGGGCCAUCAACUUUCAUAUCUUCCGUGGCUUCAGCCUCAAGUGUACCCAGUCCUUCAUUAUGAUCCAAAGAAGUUUGGGUAGCGGGCAAGAGAGAUAACCCUUUGUCAUUGUCUCCUGAAUCUCCAGCGGUCAAGACAUCAGAGUUUUUGUCUGUCAAAUUUUCAGUGGCAGGAAUCUCUGGCUCUUUGUCCACGUUCAUUGAGGUUUCUUUGAGAGGCUCGGAUGGCUUAUUCUCCGGUUCUGAUACGGCCUCAGAACCUGCCACCUCUGGCCCUUUUUCAGCCUCCGUUGUGGUUUCUAUAUCAUGAUCAACCGCCUGUCCACUUCCAUGGUUAGUCAAAAUCAUAUUGUUAACCUCGCUCACUUCUAUCCUGUCAUUGUUCUCCUCAACAACUUUGGCUUCAGUACUGACUGGAAAAUCGUUAUGGUCUCCUGAGGAUAUCACGUCAUGUUCUUCUGCAACUUUCUCCUGCUCCAUCACAGUAUUAGCAUGGUGAGGCGGUGAUCCUUUGUCCUCCGAGAGUUUGGUAUCAGGAUUGACAGUAAUCUCGUUGUUGUCUCCUGAGGAUGUCAUGUCAUGUUCUUCUUCACCUUUGUCCUGCUCCAUCACGGUAUUAGCAUGAUGAUGUGGUGAUCCUUUGUCCUCUGAGAGUUUGCUAUUAGGUGUUGUGGUCGUUUCUUCAUGGACUACUGCAGUAUCUUUGUCAACCAUGACAGAAUCUCUGUCAUUUUUCAAGAUAUCUGAACUUACUUCGCUGGACCCAAUGUUAUGUUCUACAGUGUCUUCUAAAGUAGGCUUGAUAAAAUCUUCUUCAGGAUCUAUAGCCGCUGAAGGAGAACAACUUCGAUGAGGGCUUGUUCCUAAUUGGGAAUUCUUCUCAUCAUCAAUCUUUGGUAAAUCAUCAUCGUUCCCCUUCUCAAGGGUAGACGCAUGAGUAGUACCUUCUUCAAUGACCAUGGGAGAAGGAGAAUCUUUAUGUUCCCUGACGGGAUCUUCCUCUCCUACUGUCUCUCCUGGAUUCUUAUUCUCGGUUUCCAUAACAUUGUCCUGACUUUGCUCUUCAGCCUCAAUUUCCUUAUUAGUUUCCAAAACAUUAUCCUGACUUCGCUCUUCAGUCUCAAUUUCCUUAUUAGUUUCCAAAACAUUAUCUUGACUUUGCUCUUCAGUCUCAAUUUCCUUAUUAGUUUCCAAAACACUAUCUUGAUUUUGCUCUUCAGUCUCAACUUCCUUAUUGGUGCUCUGCUCAACUCUCUCACUCUCCAUUUCUGUUAUAUUCUCCAUAGUUGAUUCCAUCUCCACAGCAUUCCUAUACUAAUUCACGCAUACAAGAAAUUUAUCAAAUACGAGUUGCAGAAAAACAGAUGAAAUGACUACAAGUUGAGUUGAAGCUCAUAAAUUAGAUAAACCCCAAAACAGAACAGUAUCUGGUACACACUAGAAAAGUACAAAGAAGUGGGACGGAGAACAGAUUUAAGGUCUUUUGAUCAUUAAUUCAACCUAUAACAGUAUAACACAUGAAGAUAUUCUGAAUACCUUAAAGAAUAAUUUCAUAAAAUUCACAUAAGAAUAUGGAAACUGCAAAUUCCUAAGAAAAUUAAACAAAAACAACAGAAAUUUGAAUAUUUGUAGGAACAUUAAAAACGAAAAAGAAACCAAUUGUAAAACUAAUUUAAAGAAAGAUAUUCAGUAAAGAAAUUUGUGAUAAUUUAAGAUAUUCUUUACUAUAAGGCUUGAUUGGUAGCAUGAGUUAUCAUUGGUUUAGUUUGAGUUAUGGGUCUAACUUAUGGAUAACUCAAAAAUGUUACCUAACUUGAAUUAAUGUAAAGUUAUAUAAUUUGAUAUUGAGUUAUGCUGGGCUAUUAUUGAUUUACGUUUUUGAACUAAAUUAUCCUCAGGGCUUUAGGAGUGUUAGGAGAUGAAAUCACAAAUCUCCAGGACACGUUUGGUUUUUAUACUUACGUUUUGGUUUAUAAUGUUCUAGAUUCUAACCGAGAUGACGAAUCGUAUAAAGUAUCAGUGUUUCAUAUAAACAAAAAUAUAGCGUAUCAACUAACUUUCACCAGACUCAAAGGACACAACAGAGAGGAAAUAUAGAGCAAACAGAGAAAUGAAGGCAAACGCAAAGGAACAACCUUUUCUUUUCAGAAGGAAGAAGAAACAGUUUUGCGGCAAUGUUAUAGCAUUCUUUAAUCCAACCCAGAAGACCUUUUCGCUCUAACUUAGAAACCAAUUCUUGAAAAAAAAUCAUCCACAGUAACACAACUAAAAAGCCUAAAAUUUCAGAUUGAAACACCGAAAUUGAAACAAAAGAUUCUCUAAUUACGCAGUCAAUUUCAGAUUUAUAACAAAAGAAUACAAUUUAGAAACCUCAAACAAGAAGCAGCAUAGUCGCGAAAUCCGGAUUCAUUUAUAAAAGCAAAACAAAUAAAAUUCCGAAUUUCGAAUACAAACAAAGGAAAACGCACCUCAGAAGAGAAGAAGAAGCAGGAAGAGGAAAAAUAGAUAGAGAGACGACAAGGGAGGAAUUUUCGCAGCUUCUGUAGUGACUGAAACACUCUUUCGUCGUCGUCCUCAAAAUUUUACCCACCGAUCGAAUUUGGAACAAAGCAAAGGUAAUCGAGGGUUUCAAUUUGAACCGGGCUUCUUCUUUAGGUUUUGGGCUUACGGGCUUAACCUAAUCCCGGCCCGAUAUUUUGCACGCGAAUCAGAUAUUGUCGGGAGAAAAUAUUUGCCCUUUAAUGUUUUUGGAUAAAAAUAAUAUUAAGAGAUACUGUAUUAAAAACCAAAAACAAAAUUGGGACUUUUUUUUUUAACAUAUAUCUUCAUUUUUACUAUUUACACCAAAAGAGUGUUUAAGGCAUAGAGGGGAGGUCAUAAGUGUCUAUAUCGUAAAAUAAAUUUUCUAAAUGCAAAAAAGAUAAUGGUAAACUAUUAACGGAAAGAGUUUGACAAUACGUUCUUUCAAAAUAGAUUUUUUUAUAUCUCUAUUAAAGAAGUUCUAGACAUGUUUGCAAUCAAGUAAAUAGCUCUACGAACGAAUGAAAAUAUAAGAGUAUGGACCGAAACAACACAAAAUUAAAGUAAUGUAGCUAUAUUACUUGUCCUAAGACUUCUUUCCGAAAAAUCUUGUAUUCUAGUUUCGCCUAUAGAAAUGUGUUAUUAUCUGCCAGUUUUAUCUGUUUAAACAUCUUCAGACUGUGUGUAAUACAAUAAUCCAAUGCGUAAAAUAUUAUGAUGAAAAAAAAAUAAUCAAAAGAGUGAGUUACAAAACCGUAAAUUAAAUUCCUCAAAAAAAAAUAAAACAUAAAUAAAACAUCCAUUUUCUGAUUUUCUCUUUAUCUUUUUUUCCAUAUUUAAUUAUGAAAAAACCACCCAAGGAUUAAAAAGAUAAAUGGCCUUUAACACUAAAACAGAACACAGAAGAGACAUAAUAUAUACCCUCAAAGAGUCAGAAGACAUGUUCUCAAAGCGUCUAUUAACAACAUCCAGUACUGUAUACAUUGAAGCUAAUUAAUGGCUUUUUACAAGCCAAAAUCAUUUGAUUCAAGAAACAUACAACUCAGCUUGUCCAUCAAUGAAAAGACUCAUGAACUCUUCACCAUCCACAGUUUCUUUCUCAAUCAGGAGCUGAGCAAGCUUGUGUAGGAUAUCAAUUUGAGUUGUUACAAUCUCCUUAGCCCUCGCGUACGCCUUCUCCACAAGCUCUCUCACUUCCGCGUCCACAAUAUCCGCUGUUGCCAUCGAGUAAUCCUUCUGCGAUGACAUCUGCCACAAAUAACAAAACAUAAACAAAUCUUGAGCAAGAAACCAUCACACUAAACUAUGAAUCUGAGUUUUAUUUACAUACCUGUUGACCCAUGAAAGGGUUUCCUCCUGCUCCACCAACUGCAACUUGUCCAAUCUUUUUACUGAAACCGAAUCUCUCAACCAUUUGGCGAGCUACACGUGACACCUGCAUGAAAUCAUUUGAUGCUCCAGUCGUCACAUUCUCGUCUCCAAAGAUCACCUCCUCCGCAACUCUACAAUAGCCGGAAGAAAAACAUCAUAAAGAUCAGUUUAAACACUUGACUUAGACCCUAUUCAUGUCAGUAGUAAAACUAACCUUCCACCGAGUGCAACAGCCAUUUGAUUCUCAAGGUAGCUUCUGCUAUAUAGUCCAGACUCAAGUCUCUCUUCACUAGGUGCGAAAAACGUGAGCCCACCUGCUUGUCCACGGGGAAGAAUCGAUAUCUUGGCCACUGGAUCAUACUCUGGCAUAAGCGCACCAACUAAAGCAUGCCCAGCCUCUGCAAAAAUUCCAGUUUUAUUCAAGAGUAAGUGAGUGGUCAACACAAGAAAGAAAAAGAAUGAGAAGAAGCUUAAUAUCAGUAAUUUUCUAACCAUGAUAAGCAACGAGUCUUUUUUUCUCCUCAGAGACAACAGCGUUCUUCUUCUCAGGUCCAGCAAUGAUCCUCUCAAGAGCAUCAGAUAUUUCGUCCUUGCUUAUCUCCUUAAGCUCACGCCUAGCCGCAAGAAUGGCUGCUUCAUUCAUCAGGUUCUGCAAAUCUGCACCUGUGAAGCCUGGAGUUCUCCUUGCAACCUUCUCAUAGUCCACAUCCUUACCAAUAGCCUUCCCUCUAGAAUGCACCUACAAUAAACAAAACAUUUAAACUUACUCACAAGUCUCUAACUCAUGACUUUCCCAACACGCAGAUGAGAAGCCAAACAACAAACCUGAAGGAUUUUGACUCUGCCAGCAACAUCAGGCCUAUCCACAGUGACUUGCCUGUCGAAUCUUCCCGGUCUAAGAAGCGCAGAGUCAAGAACAUCCGGCCUAUUAGUCGCAGCCAACACAAUGACACCAGAGUUACCAGAGAAACCAUCCAUCUCCGUCAAAAGCUGAUUAAUCGUCUGUUCUCUCUCAUCAUUUCCACCUCCCAUACCAGCUCCUCUUUGCCUACCAACAGCAUCAAUCUCAUCUAUAAAAACAAUACAAGGAGCUUUCGCUUUCGCCUUCUCAAACAAAUCCCUAACUCUAGACGCACCAACACCAACGAAAAGCUCAACGAACUCCGAAGCAGCACACGAGAAGAAUGGCACUCCUGCUUCUCCGGCCACCGCUCUAGCCAGCAGCGUCUUCCCCGUCCCCGGAGGACCAACCAACAAACACCCUUUAGGUAUCUUAGCUCCUAAAGCUGUGUACUUGUCUGGAUUCUUCAAGAAAUCAACAACUUCUUGCAACUCAAGCUUAGCCUGAUCAGCUCCUGCAACGUCUCCAAAUGUAACUCCGGUUUCAGGAACUUCCUGGAACUUUGAUUUCGACCUUCCGAAAUCCAUCGGACCUCCGAGACCUCCGGGACCUCCUGGACCACCUUGACCUCCACGGAAGAGAUAAAACAACCCUCCAAAGGCAAGCAAAGGGAAAAUCAGAUUACCGAUGAAAUCGAACAAACCAUUCCCGGAUUCUCCUUCGGAAACCGAUAUAUCGACUCCGUUCAUGGCGAGGAUAUCGAUUAGGUCCGGAUCGUUGGGGACAAUGACGGUGGCGCGACGGCCAUCGACGGCGGUGAGCUGGAGAACGGAGCCGUCUUUGCUGAAUUUAACUCUCUCCACUUUACCUUUCU